UACGUAGGGGGCUAGCGUUGUCCGGAUUUAUUGGGCGUAAAGAGCGUGUAGGCGGCCAAGCAGGUCAGCUGUGAAAACUCGAGGCUCAACCUCGAGACGUCGGUUGAAACCGUUUGGCUAGAGUCCGGAAGAGGAGAGUGGAAUUCCCGGUGUAGCGGUGAAAUGCGCAGAUAUCGGGAAGAACACCCGUGGCGAAGGCGGCUCUCUGGGACGGUACUGACGCUGAGACGCGAAAGCGUGGGGAGCGAACAGG
rnacentral:rRNA from 1 species